UUUCCCUCAGGAUAGCUGGCACUCGCUUGAGCGAGUCUCAUCUGGUAAAGCGAAUGAUUAGAGGCCUUGGGGCCGAAACGACCUCAACCUAUUCUCAAACUUUAAAUGGGUGAGAUCUCUGGCUUGCUUGAACGUUGAAGCCACGAGAUUUAAACUAUUGGAUCAGAGUGCCAAGUGGGCCAAUUUUGGUAAGCAGAACUGGCGCUGUGGGA
rnacentral:rRNA from 1 species